rnacentral:rRNA from 1 species
AACGCUAGCUACAGGCUUAACACAUGCAAGUCGCGGGGUAACAUCUGGGAGAGCUUGCUCUUCCAGGAUGACGACCGGCGCACGGGUGAGUAACGCGUAUCCAACCUGGCCCAUACCACGGGAUAGCCCGUCGAAAGGCGGAUUAAUACCGUAUGCUGUCAUUAAGAUGCAUAUAUUGAUGACGAAAGGACUGGCGGUAUGGGAUGGGGAUGCGUCUGAUUAGCUUGUUGGCGGGGUAACGGCCCACCAAGGCGACGAUCAGUAGGGGUUCUGAGAGGAAGGUCCCCCACAUUGGAACUGAGACACGGUCCAAACUCCUACGGGAGGCAGCAGUGAGGAAUAUUGGUCAAUGGGCGCAAGCCUGAACCAGCCAAGUAGCGUGAGGGAAGACUGCCCUACGGGUUGUAAACCUCUUUUGUUUGGGAAUAAAGUGCGGGACGUGUCCCGCAUUGCAUGUACCAUUUGAAUAAGGACCGGCUAAUUCCGUGCCAGCAGCCGCGGUAAUACGGAAGGUCCGGGCGUUAUCCGGAUUUAUUGGGUUUAAAGGGAGCGCAGGCCGUGGGUUAAGCGUGUCGUGAAAUUCCGUCGCUCAACGGCGGACGUGCGGCGCGAACUGGUCCACUUGAGUACGCGGGACGUUGGCGGAAUUCGUGGUGUAGCGGUGAAAUGCUUAGAUAUCACGAAGAACUCCGAUUG